GCGAGUUUGGUUAUUUAUGUUCAUUUGAAAACAGCCACAGCGUCUGGGCUUUACUUUAAUGCCGGGUACGUCGCCACUGACUAGCGCAAUGCUUCAGGGGACGGCGGUAGUAUCCAGGCAACGGUUUGUUUUUGCUCCGAGCCGCGUGCACGAGGGCAAAGAAGGAGAUUGACAUUGAGCCCACAGACAUGGUAGAAAGGAUCAAGGAAACGGAAGAAGAAAAAGGAAGGGGAUGUCACCUCAACAGCAAAGGCUAAUCUACAGUCGUGGCCAAGUGCUUUGAGACUAGUGCAAAUUUUGGUUUUCACAGUUUGCUGCUUCGGUUUUUUUUGGUGGCAAUUUGCAUUAACUCUAGAUUGUGAAGAGUGAU